AAAGGGAAAAAAUAUGUUCCUUCUUUUAGGCACAGUAAGGUUCAGGCUGUUUUGGGGAAGUGAAAAUACAGAUUCUGUAUUACCAGAUCCUCCAAUUGUUCAAAGGAUACAAAAAAAAAUAUCUAGGUCUGUAUGUUAAAUCUCUUGAAUUUUAAAAGUUGGCAGCUAAUUUAACAUAUAAUUGGAACCCUGUUUGGGCUAAACUAAACACUAAACAGCUCUGCAGCCAUAAUUAGCUCCUGGGCUGUCAGUUGGAGAUUUCUGUUCCAUACACUAUGGAAACUGCUGAUGAAGAAAAAGCAACUUAUCCUUGAAUGAAAAAAAAGAGCAAAACAAAAAAAACCACCUCAACAACCAAAAUAGUUUGUUUUCUUAAAACAGUCGGCAGAACUCAUCAGUUCCUUAGAAGUAUAUGUGCAGAAGAGUAGUUACAGAUGCCACUUGGAAGAGAGCUCCCGGAAGCCAUCAGAUCCUCUGGUUCAGAACUGUGUUUUGGGCUUGAUCCUCAUCACCCACUGAAAGUGUAAGCAGCUUUUAGCAAGGAAGAGCUCUCUGCAGGAGGCUCUUCCAGAAUAAAUGACCAGAACUCUUCCCAAGCUUCUCUUCAGUAAUCUUGCGAACAAAUGAUGUGAACAAGGUAGCACCUGAAGAAAGACCUCACAGGAGCUGACGAGCCUGCAUGCAGUGGGAGAGAACUGUGAAAGAAACAAAAUUUGGUGACAUUUGUGAGCUAUCAUGUUCCUAAGACAACAAUCCCAACGGGCAUAAGAGUAAAAGGAAGCUUUCCUGACUGCAAUCUUUUGAAAACCUGUUCUAAAUUAAGAAAGU